rnacentral:rRNA from 1 species
GGUGAACGCUGGCGGCGUGCCUAAUACAUGCAAGUCGAGCGGACAGACGAGGAGCUUGCUCCUCUGACGUUAGCGGCGGACGGGUGAGUAACACGUGGAUAACCUACCUAUAAGACUGUGAUAACUUCGGGAAACCUGAGCUAAUACCGGAUAAUAUAUUGAACCGCAUGGUUCAAUAGUGAAACACGGUUUUUCUUUCACUUAUAGAUGGAUCCGCGCCGCAUUAGCUAGUUGGUAAGGUAACGGCUUACCAAGGCAACGAUGCGUAGCCGACCUGAGAGGGUGAUCGGCCACACUGGAACUGAGACACGGUCCAGACUCCUACGGGAGGCAGCAGUAGGGAAUCUUACGCGAUGGGGGAAAGCUUGACGGAGCAACGCCGCGUGAGUGAUGAAGGUCUUCGGAUCGUAAAACUCUGUUAUUAGGGAAGAUCAAAUGUGUAAGUAACUAUGCACGUAUUGACGGUACCUAAUCAGAAAGCCACGGCUAACUACGUG